GACGAACGCUGGCGGCGCGCCUAAUGCAUGCAAGUCGAACGGUUGCCUUGGCCUUCGGGCCUUGGUGAUAGUGGCAAACGGCUGAGUAACGCGUAAGGGACCUGACCCUGGGAGAGGGAUAACUCACUGAAAGGUGAGCUAAUACCCCGUACGCUGGUCGGCUGCAUGGCCGAUCAGGAAAGUUUCGGCGAAAGCCGUUUCGCCCGGGGAGGGCCUUGCGUCCUAUCAGGUAGUUGGCGGGGUAACGGCC
rnacentral:rRNA from 1 species